rnacentral:rRNA from 1 species
GAUCCUGGCUCAGAAUCAACGCUGGCGGCGUGCCUAACACAUGCAAGUCGAACGCGAAAGGGGCUUCGGCCCUGAGUAGAGUGGCGUCCGGGUGAGUAACGCGUGGGUAAUCUGCCUCUGGGUGGGGAAUAACUCAGGGAAACUUGAGCUAAUACCGCGUAAUGCAGCGGCUCGACAUCGAGACAGUUGUUAAAGCAGAAAUGCGCCUAGAGAGGAGCCCGCGUCCGAUUAGCUAGUUGGGAGGGUAAUGGCCUACCAAGGCGACGAUCGGUAGCUGGUCUGAGAGGACGGCCAGCCACAAUGGCACUGAAACACGGGCCAUACUCCUACGGGAGGCAGCAG